AACGAACGCUGGCGGCAUGCCUAACACAUGCAAGUCGAACGAGACCUUCGGGUCUAGUGGCGCACGGGUGCGUAACGCGGGGGAACCUGCCCUUAGGUUCGGAAUAACUCCCCGAAAGGGGUGCUAAUACCGGAUAAUGUCUUCGGACCAAAGAUUUAUCGCCUUUGGAUGGGCCCGCGUUGGAUUCGCUAGUUGGUAGGGUAAAAGCCUACCAAGGCGACGAUCCAUAGCUGGUCUGAGAGGAUGAUCAGCCACACUGGGACUGAGACACGGCCCAGACUCCUACGGGAGGCAGCAGUGGGGAAUAUUGGACAGUGGGCGAUAGCCUGAUCCAGCAAUGCCGCGUGAGUGAUGAAGGCUUUAGGGUUGUAAAGCUCUUUUACCCGGGAUGAUAAUGACAUUACCGGGAGAAUAAGCUCCGGCUAACUCCGUG
rnacentral:rRNA from 1 species